GAUGAACGCUGGCGGCGUGCCUAAUACAUGCAAGUCGAGCGAACGGACGAGAAGCUUGCUUCUCUGAUGUUAGCGGCGGACGGGUGAGUAACACGUGGAUAACCUACCUAUAAGACUGGGAUAACUUCGGGAAACCGGAGCUAAUAGCGGAUAAUAUUUUGAACCGCAUGGUUCAAUAGUGAAAGACGGUCUUGCUGUCACGUAUAGAUGGAUCCGCGCUGCAUUAGCGAGUUGGUAAGGUAACGGCUUACCAAGGCAACGAUGCAUAGCCGACCUGAGAGGGUGAUCGGCCACACUGGAACUGAGACACGGUCCAGACUCCUACGGGAGGCAGCAGUAGGGCAUCUUCCGCAAUGGGCGGAAGCCUGACGGAGCAACGCCGCGUGAGUGAUGAAGGUCUUCGGAUCGUAAAACUCUGUUAUUAGGGAAGAACAUAUGUGUAAGUAACUGGGCACAUCUUGACGGUAACUAAGCAGAAAGCCACGGCUAACUACGUGC
rnacentral:rRNA from 1 species